UACGGAGGAUCCAAGCGUUAUCCGGAAUCAUUGGGUUUAAAGGGUCCGUAGGCGGUUUAAUAAGUCAGUGGUGAAUGCCCAUCGCUCAACGGUGGAACGGCCAUUGAUACUGUUAAACUUGAAUUAUUAGGAAGUAACUAGAAUAUGUAGUGUAGCGGUGAAAUGCUUAGAGAUUACAUGGAAUACCAAUUGCGAAGGCAGGUUACUACUAAUGGAUUGACGCUGAUGGACGAAAGCGUGGGUAGCGAACAGG
rnacentral:rRNA from 1 species